CAAAGAACUUGGAGUUUCAUUGUUCCAAAAUCCAACUCGGCCUGCAUCACAGUUUGGGCCCUACAGUGUCAGCUGUGACUUGCACAGAAAUGUAGAAACAGGGUCAGAUCUAUCAGAAGUCACAUCCGGUUCAGAACACUCAUUGAAAAUAUGGCUAACGAAGGUGUGCCAGCAUAUUCGGGCUGCGAUAUUAAAAUACCACAGACUGGGUGGCUUAAGCAACAGGAUAGAAGAAGCUAACUUAAGAGAUUUUACCCCGAGAUCGAAACACUGUGCUCUAGCUGGCCUCAAUGUUUCUCGGAGGGAGCUUCACUGAGCCCACGGUUUCUGCAGGAGUCCAGAGGACGACCGCUCCAGAUGACAUUCCUUGGUCAGCAAGAAAGUUGAAGCUUCACAAGUCGGAGAUAAAGUCAAGAUAUUGC
rnacentral:lncRNA from 1 species